AUACGGAGGGUGCAAGCGUUAUCCGGAUUCACUGGGUUUAAAGGGUGCGUAGGCGGAUAUGUAAGUCUGUGGUGAAAUCUCUGAGCUUAACUCAGAAACUGCCGUGGAUACUAUAUGUCUUGAAUGUUGUGGAGGUUAGCGGAAUAUGUCAUGUAGCGGUGAAAUGCUUAGAUAUGACAUAGAACACCGAUUGCGAAGGCAGCUGGCUACACAACUAUUGACGCUGAGGCACGAAAGCGUGGGGAUCAAACAGGAUUAGAUACCCUGGUAGUCCACGCCCUAAACGAUGGAUACUCGACAUUUGCGAUAUAUUGUAAGUGUCUGAGCGAAAGCAUUAAGUAUCCCACCUGGGAAGUACGACCGCAAGGUUGAA
rnacentral:rRNA from 1 species